AUCAGGGUGCUGGUUCUGCUCAAGACGAUCCAGUGUCCCUCAAGAAAGUCCAGUGUUGUUCAAUCAUCCUCGUGAACUGUGACUUCAAAGAACUAUCCUGGCGGAAACCUUUUGCACAAAUGGAAAGAAGUCAAAACCUGGCAGAAGACAGACACUUGUGAUGGCUCUCUUUAAGGUUUUAAUGGUUCUUGAAGGAUUUUCAGGGAAUGACCAAGAUUUCAAACUGUCAAGAAAAGGAUAACAGAGCCAAUAGAAAGUUUUUGGCAGCCAUGUCAAGAGGCAACAGAUGUGUACAAGUGUGGAAGAGGCCUUUCCUAGAAAUGACCAAAAGGCACUGUGACUCAUGAGAAACUUUCUGUGCUGGAUUGGCUUCCCUGCCAGACUUCAGCACCCCAACUUUGAGGAUGCAGUAGUGAAGGAGCUCUGCAAGAUCACAGGAAUAACCAAGACCCACUCAUGUCCCCAUCACCCUCAGGGGAACAGCGCUACUGAGAGGUUUAACAGGACACUUGUACAGAUAUAUAGGUGAUUCAGCAGGACACUUGUACAGGUAUAUAGGGGAUUCAGCAGGACACCUACAGAUAUAUAGGGCACUUCAACUGUAUCUCGGUUGUACAGCCCAAAGAGUUAAUCACUUGACUCUGGUACAGCCCAAAGAGUUCAUCACCUGACUCCGACACAGCCCAAAGAGUUCAUCACCUGACUCCGACACAGCCCAAAGAGUUCAUCAACUGACUAUGGUACAGCUCAAAGAGUUCAUCACCUGACUCUGGUACAGCUCAAAGAGUUUAUCACCUGACUCUGGUACAGCUCAAAGAGUUUAUCACCUGACUCUGGUACAGCCCAAAGAGUUCAUCACUUUGAUUAAAUUGACUGCUUGUCCUCAACCACAACCUGAACUCUCCAUUGCCACCUUUCUUCCACAAAGAUCCACUAACAACAUGGAAAUAAAACACAACGCAAGGCAGUGGUGGUUCGGGACAUCAAGAUGAAGAGUUAUGUAAAAAAAUACUAAUAA